UUCUCUCCUGAGCGUGAAGCCGGCUCUUCGUGUCGCUUUACUGCGACUGCCUUUUGCCAUUGAUGAUCGUAAAAAAAAAAAAGAAAAAGAA
rnacentral:snoRNA from 1 species